rnacentral:lncRNA from 1 species
CCAAAGGCAGGCGUGCAGGGCCUUGGCUACUGCGCUAGGUCUGCUGAUGGCCACAAGCCUUUAGUCCCAGCUCUGCCUUAGCAGUGGGGGUGUCUGAAGGCUCAGGGGAUACACAGGUCCUCUAGGUUCCUGGGGAGAUGAUGAGUGAGAGUUUUGACCAGGAGUGGAUACUGAGGAGAGCAAAGAUCACCUGGUCCUCAUCAAGCCGGACUUCCAGAGGCAAAGCUCCUUAACUGAGGAAUUCAGAAGUAAUUAGUCUUCCCUAUUAUCCAAAGCAGGCAUCUGGUACCAGCCUUCUUUCCCCAAAAUUUAUAAGUAACUACAAUUUCUA